UGAAAAUGGAAGCAAAACCAGAGAAACGAAAGAAUUACGGAGAUGGAAUAGCACAACGGAAUGGUUGGACUGGUGGGGCUUAAUCGGAUGAAGAGACCGACAAACUAGACGCUCUCUUCAGCUUUAGAAACAUCGACGUAUGUGGCAACUAAUUUCGUUACUUAAGUUAUACGAUUGUCCGAAAUGAUCUUCCUCGAACCAGGCGAGCGUCUUUCUUGCGUCUAGUUCGCAAUGAACAGUUGCUUAUCUAACUACUCUUUCUUCAUACGAAGUUUAUCCGAUCGUGCAACGAAUAUACCGGCGAUUUUUAUGAAUACACGAGAAAUUUGAAAGCGGAGAAAUCCGCGGAGUGCAAAUAAUUGAGAAAAAUGAACACGUGGAAAAGUGAGUUUAGAAUAAUUUAUAAAAUAUU
rnacentral:misc_RNA from 1 species